rnacentral:ncRNA from 1 species
CAAAGGUUUGGUCCUAGCCUUCCUGUUGAUUAAUAACAGAGUUACACAUGCAAGUUUCCUCGCCCCGGUGAAAAUGCCCUCUAAAUCCCACGUCGAUUAAAAGGAGCAGGUAUCAAGCACACUAAUAUAGUAGCUCAUAACGCCUUGCUCAACCACACCCCCACGGGACACAGCAGUGAUAAAAAUUAAGCCAUGAACGAAAGUUCGACUAAGCCAUGUUAACACUAAGGGUUGGUAAAUUUCGUGCCAGCCACCGCGGCCAUACGAUUAACCCAUAUCAAUAGGUCAACGGCGUAAAACGUGUUAAAGAUAAUAAAACACUAAAGUCAAAAUUUAACCAGGCUGUAAAAAGCUACUGUUAAUAUAAGACAAACCACGAAAGUGACUUUACUACUUCUGAUUACACGAUAGCUGAGACCCAAACUGGGAUUAGAUACCCCACUAUGCUCAGCCUUAAACAUAAAUAAUUCAUUCAACAAAAUUAUCUGCCAGAGAACUACUAGCAACAGCCUAAAACUCAAAGGACUUGGCGGUGCUUUACAUCCCUCUAGAGGAGCCUGUUCUAUAAUCGAUAAACCCCGAUAAACCUUACCACUUCUAGCUAAAUCAGUCUAUAUACCGCCAUCUUCAGCAAACCCUCAAAAAGGAAGAAAAGUAAGCACAAUAAUAAUACAUAAAAAAGUUAGGUCAAGGUGUAACCCAUGAAGUGGAAAGAAAUGGGCUACAUUUUCUAAUCAAGAACAUUACUCACGAAAGUUUUUAUGAAACCUAAAAACUAAAGGUGGAUUUAGUAGUAAAUCAAGAAUAGAGAGCUUGAUUGAAUAGGGCCAUAAAGCACGCACACACCGCCCGUCACCCUCCUCAAGUAACACGCUCCAAUAUUACAUAAUGCAAAACCUAACCAAGACAAGAGGAGAUAAGUCGUAACAAGGUAAGCAUACUGGAAGGUGUGCUUGGAUAAAC